CAGGGUUUUACUGGAGCCUGGCGUUGUUUGGAGUUAAAUUGCAGAUGUAAAGAUUAAAUGGUUAAAGAGGAAGGAGCUACAGUGAGCCGGUCAUAUGAAAAGAUAACCGGUGCAUACGUCAGUUUGGGGGAACUCAAACCUGCAACAUGUCAUACAGCGAGUCAGGCAAAGCAACGUCAUCCAGCCGUGAAGCCAUUUGGCGGUGGGGAGGAGUGGGCCAUCUGAAGGCUAACCCCAGGAGCCCCCUUAACCCACAGUGGUUGAAAGCCCAGUCAAUCAGACGCAAUGAUGUUAAACUCCUCUCCAAUGAAUAGCCUUCACCAGUCAUCAGAGAGAUUGUCUGUGUCUGGAGGCUGAUUAGGAGUUCAUCUCAACUUGGCCUAAUCCAGAGGCACGGCGUCACUGCAGCAUCAGUGUUACCUUUGAUGGGCCCGGAUUAAAGCAAAUCUACAUUCCUUUGGUGGAUUUCAAACGCUGCCUGAACAAUGAUGCCAGCCAGAGGCGAGAUAAUGAGGCCUGCAGUGGACUGGCAACGAGUGACUUUAAAAUCAACCUGAUUAGGGUCAGAGAUAUUAUCUCUGCACCUCCCUCCUCCUUUUGCUCCUUCACUCUCUCUCUUCCAUCUCACCACUUCAGUUUUACCUCUUUCCUCCUUUCAAUUUUCUUCUCAAGUCGCCUCAUUUUUCACUCUCUUCCCCAACUCUACUCCUCUCUUCCUCUCCCCCUUACCCUAGUGAGUGAGGCCUGACUUAAUUAGUGGGCUGGAGUGUGAAUGUGCCUUUCACAGGGUGUUAAUGAAAAGCUUUGCGCUUUCCCUUUCACUGUAUUAGUGACUGACUGCAACCCCCCCCCACACACAC